rnacentral:rRNA from 1 species
UACGUAGGGGGCAAGCGUUGUCCGGAAUCAUUGGGCGUAAAGCGCGUGUAGGCGGUUCGGUAAGUCGGCUGUGAAAGUCCAGGGCUCAACCCUGGGAUGCCGGUCAAUACUGCCGGACUAGAGUUCGGAAGAGGCGAGUGGAAUUCCCGGUGUAGCGGUGAAAUGCGCAGAUAUCGGGAGGAACACCAAUGGCGAAGGCAGCUCGCUGGGACGUUACUGACGCUGAGACGCGAAAGCGUGGGGAGCAAACAGG